GUGGAUGAUAUUAUUUUUAGUACAACAAACUAUUCUUAUUGCAAGAAAUUCUCCAACAUGAUGCAAAGUGAAUUUGAAAUGAGUACGAUGGGUGAACUGACAUUCUUUUUUGGAUUGCAAAUUAAGAAAAUGAAAGAUGAAAUUUUUAUAAAUCAAUCCAAAUACAUCAAAGACAUGCUAAGGAAGUUCAAAAUAGAAGAUAUAAAAAGCAUUGGAACUCCAA
rnacentral:misc_RNA from 1 species